CAUAAGGGCUCCAUAUAUGAGCAUGAAUUAAAUCAAAAGAGACAUGAACAUUGUGAUCACUAUUAGGAAAAGGUAACUUCUUUUGCUUGGAAAAAUGAAAAAUGUCAUAAAUAUGUUUGUCACCAUAAUCUAUAUAAGGAAAUUGGAUAUUCCAAAUCAUCAUAAAUUGUUAAAAAUGUGAUCCAUAUAAGGAAACUGAUUAUUUAAAAUCUUUAUACAAUUGGGAACAUGUCUAACAUUGUGAUUAUUAAUACUAUUUAUACUACAAUAUUGUAAAUUUGACUUUGACCCCUUGAGGUAGUAAAGCCCUUCAACAAGGUCCGUUGUAACAAUCCUCUUCUUGGUCCUCAAGUCCUGAAUAGAACAACCAUUAGUAUGGAAAGUAGCAUAACAAUUUAAUUGAUUACAUGGUCUUGAAAUAUAAAUGAAAUUUAAUUGAGAACUUACAUAAAAAAAAAUCCAAUUUUAAAUCUUUUGUAACAAAAAUAGCUCCAACAUAGUCAGCAAUAACAAUAGUCCCAUAGGUAAUUUAAUAUUAAUUGGUUUAAUUUUGAAAAACUUAGUGAAAACAUUAAAAUUAUUACAUACUCGACCAGUUGCUCCAUAAUCCUUGUGAUAAUUAUUGAUAACAAUUAAAGAAGGUUUACCUAUGGACUUGUCAGCUAGGGUUAAACCAAUUUGGGAAGUGGAAACUAUGUGAUUGGCGGCAUGAUUAGUCCACAAAUUAGCCCGAUGUAUUAGGUUUAGAAUUCAUUUGAUCUAAUCUUGAGUGAAUGGAGCUUGUUGGCUGCCAUAGUCACCAACUUCCUCAUUUUUGGUGUUUUCUUAUUCACUAUACAUAUUAUUGGCAGGAUUACCAUUCUUGAAUUUGAAAUAAGGUGGAAACCCAUGCUUUUUGUAACAAAUGUCAAUAGUAUGACCAAGUUUACCACAAUGAGUGCAGGUAUUGUAUUUUCCCUUUCCACGAACCUUUAUUUGUUUCAGCAACAUUAACAAUGGUUUAAGAUUAUGUGUUAUCAUUAAACCCUCCAUUUUGUCUUUGUUAUUAGAGAACUAAAGAGAUGACUCUAUUCAGAUUUGGCAUAGGCUUCAUGACCAAUACUUGAAUUUUAACCACAUCAAAACUUUCAUUUAAACUAGUUAAAAAGGUGACCACCCUAUCUUCUUUGACAUAGGUUGUGGAGCCACAACUACAUGGUGGUAUAGGGAGAAAAUUAUCCAAUUCUUCCCACAAAAUAGUUAAAGCAGUAAAAAAAUCUGAAACAUUAAUAUUACCUUGUUUAAUUAAGUGAUUUUCCUUUUGCAAUUUUGAAACUCUGAUUAGACCCCUUUGUGAAAACCUUGCCUUUAAAUCAAUCUAGGCUGUGUUGGCACUAUCUUUAAAGGCAAGACUCUGGCUAUUGAUG
rnacentral:lncRNA from 1 species